UGGUUAGCUAUUCCCUGAGGUGAGUUACGAGGGCGUAACUCGUUUUCUUUAAGGGGGGUAGAAUGCGAUAGAAAUUCGCGCUUUUUACCUAUUUUAUGGAAUUUUUAUGCAUUUUAUUGCUUAUUUUAGCAAAUUUUACAAGUUGAUGCAAAGCAAAUAGAUUCUCCGCAAAAGAAAAGGUGUUCAUGAGUAACACAAACAGCUUUGAGUUGGCAAAAUAGUGCACAUAGGUGGCACAAGUAUUUCUCUAGUAAGAAUAAGUUAAAAGCUUUGGGAAAAUGUGGGAAAUUUCGUGUCAAGUUUCGGGACGAAACUUCUUUUAAGAGGGGUAGAUUGUAAUCCCCCGUAAAUUUAUAAAUUUUAUUAAUAUAUUUUAACGUAUAUUAUUUAUAUUUAAAUAGAAUUUAUGAAUUUUAGUAAUAAAUAUAUAAUUAACGUAUAUUUAUUUCAUUUUAAGUACGUUCUAAAUAUUUAACGAUUUUCUUGAACUUUAUUAUAUUUAUAUAUUUAAUGUAUAUUUAAUUUUAUUUAAAUAUAUUCUAAAUAUUUUAACGAUUUGUGCAAUCAAGAAUAAUUUUAGAAUUUUACGUUGAAAAGAAUUCGAAUUACGAAAACACGUUCGAUUGAAAUUAGAAACCAAUCCUAACCCUUUUGGAUUCAAACAACCUAAAUCCUAAUUGUAGCCCAAUUGGGUGAAGCCCAAAUGAUAAAGCCCAUAACUCUUUACUCCCUCUUUCAAUUGCAAGUAAAAACAAAAAAACAAAAAAAAACAAAAAAAAAAAAUAAAACCCUCUUCUCUCCUACUCCAUUCACGUGAAAUCAAACACCAAAACCCUUCCCUCCUUCACGUAACUCUCUCCUCCCCUUUGCUGUUCAGCCGCCACCCUGAACCCUCGCCGGCGACCACCGCCGUCCGCCCGCGCCGCCAGUAAGCCAACUCCUCCUCAUCUCCUCCGUCGUCUCUUCCUCCCUCUCUGUUUUCGUCCUUCCUCUCAGCCCUUCGUUUUUGCGCAGCAACACCGCAAGCCACGCCCUGUCACCGCCAGCAACCGCUCCAGCCUCAGCCGCCGGCCGCCGCCACUACAAGCCGGACCACCGCCGUCGCCGCUCACGUUCUCCGCGAGUCUCACCACCACCCAGCAUCACGACGACAGCCGUCGCACUGCCGCCCAGUCAAUCCGCUCCGUCGCGCUGCCCUACCCGCCGGCCAGCACCUCCCCUCUCCUCCUUUUGGCGGAGAAUUCUUUGUAGGCGAUUUUUGAAUUCGUUAAAGUGGCCUAUCGGUUUGUUUACACAAGUCUCUAAGGAUCAAUAAGCAUUGUCCAUCUGCAGGUUUGAAGAUGUUGCAUCAUUGGGAUCGGGAAUAGAGAGCUUGUAUUUAGUUUUGAUUUGCUAAGUUAACUUGGGUUUGUUAAUUGGGACUUUAAACUUGUCGUACUAUUUAUAUUUCCUUAUUUUCGUUGGAUGAUUCUUGGGGACUAAAUCUGUAAUAGAUUAUUUAUAAACCUAAAGUUAGUUUUAUGUUUUCCGCUGCAAAA